rnacentral:misc_RNA from 1 species
AACGGGCUCGCGCCGAUGAUAGUAGAGAUCCCCUCUGCGAAAGUAGGUCACCGCCAGGCACC